AGAGUUUGAUCCUGGCUCAGGAUGAAUGCUAGCGACAGGCUUAACACAUGCAAGUCGAGGGGCAGCGGGGUAGUGCUUGCACUACUGCCGGCGACCGGCGCACGGGUGAGUAACACGUAUGGAACCUGCCCGCAGCAGGGGGAUAAGCGGAAGAAAUUCCGUCUAAUACCGCGUAAGAACGUUGGGAGGCAUCUCCCGAUGUUUAAAGAUUUAUCGGCUGCGGAUGGCCAUGCGGCGCAUUAGCUAGUCGGCGGGGUAACGGCCCACCGAGGCGACGAUGCGUAGGGGUUCUGAGAGGAAGGUCCCCCACACUGGUACUGAGACACGGACCAGACUCCUACGGGAGGCAGCACUGAGGAAUAUUGGUCAAUGGCCGAGAGGCUGAACCAGCCAAGUCGCGUGAGGGAAGACGGCCCUACGGGUUGUAAACCUCUUUUGUCGGGGAGCAAAGCGAACCACGUGUGGUUCAUUGAGAGUACCCGAAGAAAAAGCAUCGGCUAACUCCGUGCCAGCAGCCGCGGUAAUACGGAGGAUGCGAGCGUUAUCCGGAUUUAUUGGGUUUAAAGGGUGCGCAGGCGGAGGUGCAAGUCAGCGGUCAAAUUGCGGGGCUCAACCCCGUACUGCCGUUGAAACUGCAUCCCUUGAGUGCGCGAGAAGUAUGCGGAAUGCGUGGUGUAGCGGUGAAAUGCAUAGAUAUCACGCAGAACUCCGAUUGCGAAGGCAGCAUACCGGCGCGCAACUGACGCUCAUGCACGAAAGCGUGGGUAUCGAACAGGAUUAGAUACCCUGGUAGUCCACGCAGUAAACGAUGAACACUAACUGUUCGGCCAGAAUGAUGGCUGAGUGGUACAGCGAAAGCGUUAAGUGUUCCACCUGGGGAGUACGCCGGCAACGGUGAAACUCAAAGGAAUUGACGGGGGCCCGCACAAGCGGAGGAACAUGUGGUUUAAUUCGAUGAUACGCGAGGAGCCUUACCCGGGCUCAAACGACACAGGAAUACUUUUGAAAGGAGGUAGCCCUACGGGGUCUGUGUCGAGGUGCUGCAUGGUUGUCGUCAGCUCGUGCCGUGAGGUGUCGGCUUAAGUGCCAUAACGAGCGCAACCCCUAUCGCCAGUUACCAUCAAGUAAAGUUGGGGACUCUGGCGAGACUGCCGGCGCAAGCUGAGAGGAAGGCGGGGAUGACGUCAAAUCAGCACGGCCCUUACGUCCGGGGCGACACACGUGUUACAAUGGCAGGUACAGAGAGAAGCCAGGUGGUGACACCGAGCGGAACUCGAAAGCCUGUCUCAGUUCGGAUCGGAGUCUGCAACCCGACUCCGUGAAGCUGGAUUCGCUAGUAAUCGCGCAUCAGCCAUGGCGCGGUGAAUACGUUCCCGGGCCUUGCACACACCGCCCGUCA
rnacentral:rRNA from 1 species